GUCUGCAGUGUCUACAAAGGAAUUUGAUAAAUUGCCAUUUGAAUUAGGAAAUGUGUAACAAAUGUCACGUGCACAAAUUAUUAAUACACAUACAGAUCCCAGAUAUGAUUAGGAUUUCUCAGAAAGAGACAUGAAUAGAAGUUCAUGAGAAAAAAUUAACACCACAACAAAGCCUAUCUCAGGAGAAAAAAUUAUUAGAUGCACCCGGUGCACAUAUACCAUUUCUCACAAUCAUAUGGGACCCACUCUCCAUAUUCUAAGGAAAACUCACUUUUUUGUGAAAGAUGAAAUACUAUUUUCCAGUGCUCUUGGUGUACCUAAUAAUUAGCCCUAUUUCAGAUGCUUGGCGAUCAGGUAUAAAUAUAAUCAACAA
rnacentral:misc_RNA from 1 species